UGUUGAUCCUCAGGACUAUGGUCGGCACUCUUUGUUUUGCCUGUUUUGCAAAGCAAUACGGACAGCACUCUUCUUGCACCAUCGUGUUAGAGAAAGUUACAUCAAAAACAGUGUCUCUCACAGAUCUAUGAUGAAAGGACUGCCAGGCUAGAAAAUGUAAAUAAAAGUGGAAAAUAAAUACAUUUAAGAAAAAAAAUCUAUUGCCAAGAUCUUUUAAAUACGCUGACAUUAUCUAUACAAACAAAUAAUCGAUAUGUUUUUAUCUGGAUAACCACAUGAUUGGUGCCUUGCUCAGUCAUCAUCAGAGAAGCUCCUUCCUACAACCAUUAAGAACAAAAACAGAGGACCCAAAACAGACUUUAUGCGGAAUGAGAGACC